rnacentral:lncRNA from 1 species
CGCCCUUAUAGACCCAGGGAAGGGCGAGUCUUAAAGGUGCCGCGCCUAACGGAAGGCAGGACCGUGGGAAUCUAGGAGAAUCCCUCCCUCUGCCCCAAAAGAAGAGAUUCAGAGCCAGGAGCGGGUGAAGAUAUGCGGAAAGAAUGGCAAGAGGGCUCGGUGAAGAAAGGACUGCAGUGUGUGGCAUCACACUCCCUUCCCCCCAACCACACACACCCACACUCACGGGGGCAUGGAUCACACACACAGCCCUCACACCUAAACCAAGAGAGGCGGCGGCAUAGUAUGGAAGUGAACACGGUGACUACGGACGGCCCUAGCUGUCAAGCCCCUGAUUCCCAUAAUUAUAAUCUUGCUCCAGGGACCGGUUGGAGCCGAGAGCUGUGUGACCUUGAAUAAGUCGCUUCUUUUUUCUCAAUCUUAAUUUUCUUAUCUGCAAAAGAGGAGGGCAAGAGUAGACCUCCCGCAAGUACACCUCCUCUCCUCUUCCCCCAAACACCUCUCCAUCUCGACUGGGUCACAAGAACUCUGGCCCAACCAAACCCUUCAGCGCCCCACAAGCACCCUUCCACCAAAAGGGCAGCGGCUCUUGGAUCUUCCAAGAGCCAAGUAGGGGGCGCCCAGGAGCACCCCUCCAUGCUAGAGGACUCUCAGACUCAAGCUUCUCCCUCCUGGCCCAGGCUGGAGGAGCCUGGAAAGCUUGCGUUCUUGUUCCAGUGGGGCAGAUCUGAAUCACUCUCCAUCUGCAGAGACCCCAAUCCCCAACACAGUCACGAGCCCCUCUCCAAGCCCCCCAGCCUGCUGCUCCGUUUGGGAGGAUCGUGCCCCCACCUCCAGCAGUCUACUGGAGUGGGGGUGGGGCGAAAGCGGAAUCACUAAAGAACAACCUCCCCUCCCCGUUCCCGUCAGAGAAGUGGCCACAAGUGCCCCCACAGGACUUCCCACUGGAAAGGGAAGUGCCACACUCCCAGGCCUCCAUCCCAGUGAGGAGACUCAGCUUGAUCCGGCUGGCAGAGCUCUCAAACCCACCGGUCCGACGACCCCGCUUUACAGACGAGGAACCAGAGACGAGGAGUGUACACAGACCGGGAGCGGACACUGGGUUUUGUCCACGGUCGCAGUGGUUACAAAGCCGGGUCUAGAAUUGAGCUUCUACAGGCCUAGGCCAGAGGGGGCUGCCCUAGCUGACCUUGCAGCUGACUCCGGGUUGGGGGACACUGCACCAAAGUCCAAGUUACCAGCUGAAAAUAAAGUUGAACAAUACCCACCAAGACUCUAUGGAGGCUUCUUUGAAGAAAAAUAAAUAAGCCAGGAUACAGACACACACCCCACCACCUUCAAGAGGAAGAAUGUAGGUCAGCAUCUUUGCCACUACUCUAUGUGAAACAGCCUAUGAUCUUGGCAAAAACUAGUAACCACAAGCCCAUCCCAUCCCACUAAAAAUCCCACCACCUUCCCAUAGCUCUCAGCUUCAGUAAGAAAAGCCAGCAAGAAAAGGACUUUCUUCCUCCUUUCAAUCUGCUCCCCGGCUGUUUGAAUUACACUUAAGACUUCACUGACAAACAUACAUCAGCUUUUGCUCCCACAAGGGCAGCGGAAGCCAAGCAGGGACUCUAAGUCUGCUUCACGCAUCAUUGACAGAACCAACCCUGUUCCAAUUGCUGAAGUCUUAAGAGCAGCAAUGACCUAGAAAUUGACAGUGGGGGGAGAACUGAAGGAAAGGAAACUGACAAACCAGUACACAGAAAACCCUAUUUCCAAAUACCAGGGGAAAGAGAGAGAAAGGAGGUAGAGGGGAAAGAGAUUUGGCCCCUUUGAAUCUGCAAAUGUGAUCUUGGCUCAGAGCCAUGGAGGAUACACAGCAGCCCCAUUGCGAGUCAAGCCAUGUUCCUGACUCAAACCCUACAGUUAAGAGGAAGGCGCCAAGCCUCAAACACAACGAGGUGGGGAGGCCGCUCCUUUUUGGGCAGGAUCCUACUGUGGACACAGAACAGACAGCAGCUGCCCACAGUGUGGAAACAAACUGUAAAGCAGUCACGUCUCUUAAGGCUGCAGCAUCCA